rnacentral:lncRNA from 1 species
CGAGUAGCAGCGUGUAGAACUGAGAAGUGAGAGUAGGACUCGGCGAGUUGGGUGGCCCAACUCGGCGAGUCAGCCCCAAAAGUAAGUUGACUUUGACCAAGGGUAAAAGAGUCAUUUUACCCCAAGUGCAGUGUUUAGUAUUUGAUUGAGUGUGUUCAUGGGCUUGUAGCCGAGGAGAUUCAGGAGCAGCAGCCGGUAGCUUUCAGAGACACACACUCAGCCGCCAGUUAGCGAGGUGAGUUUCCUUCAAGAAGGGACGGGUCUAAGGCCGCCAUGCCGGCCCGUCCAGUUAGCAGUAGUUUCCGGACUUCGGUCCGAUGUAGCAGCUAGAAUGUUUGAUGCCUUCGUGGCUCAGACAGGAUUUAUGUGCUAUGUUUUAUGUGUUACGUGUUAUGUGUUCCGGGCUACGGCUCGAUGUAGUAUGCAGUAUAUGUGUUCAUGCUAGUUGAUAUGCUAUGAUAUGUUCAGUCAGUUAGUUCCGGACUCCGGUCCGAUGCAGGGGACAAGGUCCCAGUUAGUUCCGGACUUCGGUCCGAUGCAGUUAGUUCCGGACUUCGGUCCGAUGCAGUUAGUUCCGGACUUCGGUCCGAUGCAGUUAGUUCCGGACUUGGGUCCGAUGCAGGGGACAAGGUCCCAGUCAGUUCCGGAUUUUGGUCCGAUGCAGUUUCCGGGCUUCGGCCCGAUGCAGUGGGCAAGGCCCAAUAUGUGUUAUAUGCUAUUGUAUGGUAUGUGGUAUUUUGGGGGAGCUCACUAAGCUUCGUGCUUACAGUUUCAGUUUUGGUUUCAGGUACUUCCGCAAGCAAAGGGAAGAGCUCGGGAUGAUGGCAUCGCACACACCACCGCCUCAGCUUUAGCCUGGGAUUGAUUUAGAUGUUUUGAUCUGAUGUAGUAUGAUACAGUUUUCCGCACAGUAUUUUAUUAUGUUUUGGAAUACAUCACGCAUGGUUUUAUUAUAUGAUGCUCUGCUUACAGUUUUGAUUAUAUUAAGAACAAAAAUUUUUGGGUCGUGUUUUUGGGUCGUUUCAAUCCAACUCUAGGUUUGCAUGCACACAUUGGAUCCUAGCCUCGAUGUUUCAUUUGGGUGUCACAUCAAGGAUUCUAAUCAACUUAACUUGAAUUUUCUCCCGUUUUGUAGAUGUCUAGUUAUGAUAAUCAUGGUCUUCCCAAAUUCCAUGGAACAAGCUUUCCAAAUGAAGAUGAUNNNNNNNNNNNNNNNNNNNNNNNNNNNNNNNNNNNNNNNNNNNNNNNNNNNNNNNNNNNNNNNNNNNNNNNNNNNNNNNNNNNNNNNNNNNNNNNNNNNNNNNNNNNNNNNNNNNNNNNNNNNNNNNNNNNNNNNNNNNNNNNNNNNNNNNNNNNNNNNNNNNNNNNNNNNCAUGUUGGGUGUCGAGAUUUCAAGUGAGUUGGCUGUUGACUGGGUUCUUCAGUCACUUCCUGAAUCAUAUAGUGAGUUCGUUAGAGAGUACUAUAUGAUGGAUCACGACGUGACCCUCAUUGAUCUCACCUAUUUGCUUAUAGUUGUUGAAUCAACAAUGAUUUGGCGUGCUGGUCAAGCAAAUUUGUCUGGUGAGUCAAACUCCCAAACUGCAAUGGGCACUGGCAACAUCGGAAGUCUAGAAAGAACUAAGUCUAAGAUUGUCCGAUGUGAUGUGCCAAAGGAGUCCAUUUGCUUUUAUUACCAAGAAAAGGGGCAUUGGAAACGAAACUGCCCUAACUACCUGAGAAAUCUAAGAGAUGGGAGAGUCAAGAUGCAUGGCUCUGCUUCAGUUAAAAUCCAUUAACAAACUCUUUUAAGUUCCUAUUCUAGAUUCUUAAUACAUGAUGUGAUAAGAUUACAUUUUGAUGUUUUGUAGGAUCGAAGAAAAGAGAGGAAGCUUAAGGGAAGAAGUGAGCUGAAUCUAAUCGUGAAGAAAUGGAUUUCGAUCNNNNNNNNNNNNNNNNNNNNNNNNNNNNNNNNNNNNNNNNNNNNNNNNNNNNNNNNNNNNNNNNNNNNNNNNNNNNNNNNNNNNNNNNNNNNNNNNNNNNNNNNNNNNNNNNNNNNNNNNNNNNNNNNNNNNNNNNNNNNNNNNNNNNNNNNNNNNNNNNNNNNNNNNNNNNNNNNNNNNNNNNNNNNNNNNNNNNNNNNNNNNNNNNNNNNNNNNNNNNNNNNNNNNNNNNNNNNNNNNNNNNNNNNNNNNNNNNNNNNNNNNNNNNNNNNNNNNNNNNNNNNNNNNNNNNNNNNNNNNNNNNNNNNNNNNNNNNNNNNNNNNNNNNNNNNNNNNNNNNNNNNNNNNNNNNNNNNNNNNNNNNNNNNNNNNNNNNNNNNNNNNNNNNNNNNNNNNNNNNNNNNNNNNNNNNNNNNNNNNNNNNNNNNNNNNNNNNNNNNNNNNNNNNNNNNNNNNNNNNNNNNNNNNNNNNNNNNNNNNNNNNNNNNNNNNNNNNNNNNNNNNNNNNNNNNNNNNNNNNNNNNNNNNNNNNNNNNNNNNNNNNNNNNNNNNNNNNNNNNNNNNNNNNNNNNNNNNNNNNNNNNNNNNNNNNNNNNNNNNNNNNNNNNNNNNNNNNNNNNNNNNNNNNNNNNNNNNNNNNNNNNNNNNNNNNNNNNNNNNNNNNNNNNNNNNNNNNNNNGUCAUGAUUUACUAAAGGUUUAGUAAAUAUGAUUAUACUUAUAAGAUUAAGUGUAAUUCUGAAUUGAUUGAAAGAGUUUAAAUCAAUAGCAGAACGAAUAAGAAGAAUCAAGUAGGCAGAAAGAUAAAAGUUUCUCUAUUCUAAGAAGAAGGGAGAGUACCUUUUAUUAUGUUUUAUGAUAGGUCUUAAUGAUUAAGAACCAUAUCUCAAUUGAUCCUCUAAAUGAGUCUUAGUACAAUUGUAUGUCUGAGAAGAGGAAUCAAGAAUUGAAGAAAUUGUUAAAUCAAGAAGUCAAUCAUACUUCGUUCCAAAACAAGUCUUAGAGUUAAGAUUGUGACAUUGAGUGACAAGUAUUAAGUAGGUUUAUAACAUUCAUCAAAUGUGGAANUUGUGAUGUACUGGAUAAGACAAAGACCAACUAGCACCAAUUUUGUGAAGUGUUUUGUCUUGAUAAAAGCUACACUAACUCUUGAAUAUUUGUUUGUCGAGAAAUGUUUAUUGACAAGAGAAUAUUAUAUGUCAAGGAGUCAAUGGGAGUCUUAAUGGUCUUGAAAAGUUCAUGAACUAAUCAAGAAUAAACUUUAUCGAUCAUCACUAGCACACAACUUGAGGUUCACAACCUAUCGUGUUGACACUAUCUUGUUUCUGUGCCGUUCCAAUUGAGUUAAUUAUGCAUGUGAGUUAUAUGAGUUCUCAUUCGAACGCAUAAAAGGCAAGCACCUUGGUCAAUGAAAAGUACAUUGAUGGGAAAGGAUGAGCUGCUUAACUACUUGGAAGACAUGGUGGGCACUCGUGUUACCAUAAGGCAAGAAAUCAAGAUUGAGAAAGUUCGGUCCAUAUAAGUUUGGAUUUGUCGCAAACUUUGGUUUUGACAAAUUCGCAUGGAUAGGAACACAUACACCAUUAAAAUCUAAGUGUCAUAAGAUUCCCUCCUUCAUGAAAAUGACUGUGAGGAAAUGCUAUCACUAAGAGAGAUUUUAAGAAGAUAGUGAUUGUGAAAAUUGUAUUCUCGAAUUCGAUUAUGGUUAUGGUAUCCCUUUCCAUGAUUUGAAUUGUGAGAUUUGGCAAUUAGUUUGAAUUGUUUAGACACACAUAUGAGCUAUCUAAGGCAAAGGUGUAUAAGUUUGAGAAGCUUAGAUAAAGGAUUAUCAAAGCAUUAGGUAUUAGAAAUAUGAACUUAAGAAAUUCAAUAGGUAUUGUUUUCUGGAAGUUAAGUUGUUUUCUGAAUACAUGUCAAAGCUAGUGGGAGCAUAAGUUCAUAUAAUUAUAAUAUUAUUCAACUUUACACAAGAAACAAAAACAAAUUAUUUAGUUGUGAUUUGAAAUUUAUAAACAACUACUAAUAAGAUAUAUAUGAUAGUUAAAUAUUUUAUAGAUAGAAAACUUUUCAGAGAAAAUGCAUAUUAAUGUUUUUUUAUCGGGUGAAACGUUUUGAACCUAUUUGAAAAAAUAAAUUACAAAUUUAAUAAAUAACUAUAGAUAUAUAUUACAAAUAAUUAAAUAAUAAAUAUUUAUUCAGUUUUUUUGGAGUAUUCGGUUCUUAUUUUAUAAACCAAAACCAAUUCGAAAUUCAAAAUAAUAAUUCGGUUUGUUGAAAACCAAUCCAAAAAUCCGAAUAUCCGAACCAAAUAGUCCAAUUGGACAAUUCGGUUUUAUCCAAAUAGUCCAAUUGGACAAUUCGGUUUUAUCCAAAUAGUGAACAUCCCUAGGCCUCAAACUAGAGCAACACCCAAGUAAAAAGGAAUUGCUAGCUAAAAAGCUUUAAUAGCAACCUUAGAAGUAGCAACCAACUUGGAAACUUUGANNNNNNNNNNNNNNNNNNNNNNNNNNNNNNNNUAUAUAUAUAUAUAUAUAUAUAUAUAUGUGUGUGUGUGUGUGUGUGUUAUAUUAUUAUUUAGUAGUGUUGCGCAAAUUAAGAUUAAUCGUGGAUUAAUUGUUUUGACGUUUUACAACUGAUUACGAUUAGGGGUGCUUGAUUGUUUGGCGUAAAACGGUCAACAUCGGGCUUGGCGCUCUUGGCGUUCGUCUUGGCACUCUCGAUGUUCAACAAAAGUUAACGUUUUUUUACCUAAAUUAUGAAAAAAAAUCCAAAUUUUUAUUUUUUGAACAAUAAAAUCUCAUUAUUUAAUAUUUAGCCCAAAUAAAUGACAAUGUUCUUUUUUUAAACAUGAUUUGACAAAUUAUCGCGGAAGAUUAGAUAAUUGAGACUUUUCGAUUAAAAAAAUAAAAGUUUGGACUUUUUCACAAACUUGGACAAAAUAAUGUGACUUUUUUAAUAAUAACUCUUCAAAUAUUAUACCAUGAUUUUCAUAUUUUCAUAAAAUAUUUUCAUAUUUUCAUAAUAUAUUUUCUUAUUAUACCAAAAUUUCAACGAAAUACUUCUUUUUCUUAAGAUAUAUUAAUUUUGAAUAUGCGAGAGUGGGUCUGGUUGCAAUCUUCUGAAUGCUGAGGAGAGCAAAGAAUGGAUCGCAUUCACUUUUAAGUCCCUCCCCAAACUCAUUUUACGAGGAAUAACCAAGUGCGAUAAAGAGCAAGCGAAAACCAACCCUUGGCAUGAUUCGGUUUGAGCAACGGAUCCUGACGUGAUACAUCUUCGUAAUGAAAAUUGAGUGUAAACAUUCUUUUUUUUUCUUUCCCAAUAUCGAUACAAUGAGCACUGUGAACUAUCUGCUUCAAAAAAGAUAGUUGUAAAAACAUCAGAGCAAUAUAUCGUAUUUUAUUAAUAAAUUAUGGUCACAGAUUAAUUUUUAACCUCAGUCAACCGUCGAACUAUCGCAGAACAAUUUUUACAACCUUGUUAUCCAGUUAAAGUAAACUUGAAUACAUAAAAAUCACAAAUUUAUAUAUUUAUAUCAAAUACAUCAAGUUUUUAGAAAUGCUAUCCCAACAACUAAUAACAAAAACUUAAUCGUUUUACGUCCGAUAAGAAAAAGCCAAAAAAAUUAACAAAAAAUAUGUUCCUUGAAAAAAAAAUACUCCCGCCAUAACAUAUCAUAACAUAUCAUGGCCGCCUUGAUUUGCCUUGCAACACUUCACGCCUAACAACUCGUCAUAAGUGUUUUUAGGACAUUGAAAUCACUAUGUUGCCAUCAUGAUUUUUAAAAGCCCUUUAUACAUCACAACUCAAAAACACCUUUCACGUGGGCUCGUUUUAAAUAACUUAGUGAGUAAUAAGCACUACAUAUGUGAAUAGAAACAAGAGUAUAACAUCAUUAUGUUAACUACAAAAGUAACUAUGGCCAACAAGACAAAAUAACAACCCAUUAAGGCAUCUUAACAUAAUAUUCGUAAUGUAAAUGUAUGUCCUUCGCGUUCAGUUUUAACCUUCAUAAUAACACUUAUCACGAUUAAAAUUUUCUAAAUUCCAGUUGUAUCACUUUAAAAUUUGAAAGGUACCACUUAUCUUGACACCACUUGUCUUUUAAUGAGAAAUUAAAGAUGUCACUUACAUCUCUAGACACCACUUGUGUCUUUAAUAGAGUUAAAGACGACACAUACCUCUUUAGACACAACUUAUGUCUUUAAAGGAGUUAAAGAUGUCACAUACGUUGUUUAGACACCACUUGUGUCAGUUUAAAGGUUCAAAAACACCACUUGUAUCUUUCAUAAGUUUAUUAACCAUCUUUAACUUUCAGUAACAUAAUGGAUUACAAUACCACUCUAUUCAUUUCAUAUCAUUUAUGCUUAAUCCAACAUAAACCAUAUCUAUAGUAACCUUUUUUUAAGCAACCUACUUAUAAAUAUGGAAAUUUCCAUAGCACCUUUCCACUUUUAUAAACAGGUGUAUUUUUAGCACUAACUAGUUUACUAACUCAGAAUUAUUAAUUUAAUUCCAAUCAUUAAGGUUUUAACCACCUUUGAUCAAGGAUAAUAAUCCACUUUUAAGGCAACACUCGAUUAACAAGCAAUUUUUUUCUUAAUUCCGUAUUUUUGCGAGUUAUUUACCAUAGUUAACUAUCACUUAAAUAAUACAACAAUUUACACAUCAAAUCCUCUAAACAUACGACUUUAAGUUUGAAUCCCAACUUCCAAUUAUAAGGUACAAUAAACAAUUACCACUUUGUUUCCAUCUUUACUUGAGUUAUCUGUUUUAUAUCAUCCUUAAAUUUUAACAUAUGGUGUCAAUUCAUCAAACCUCUUACUCAUGUAGGAAUCCUAAUUACCAUAAUAACUCAGCUAAUAAGAACAUGGAAUCAUACCUUCAACAUAUGAGUUUGAUUCACCACAAUUAAGGGUUCUUAUCAAUUUAUGAGGGUUUACUUCAUCAAUUAAGAAAACCAAACAAUAAAAUCUGAAGUAUGUUUUUCUCGUCCCCCAACAAUCGCCCUUUCAAUGUCUCUGAGGUUUAGGUGUUUGAUUUGAAGAAAUUCUAUGAAAUAUCGUCUUUAUAUAUUUCUAAGAUGGUCUACGCGAUGUACAACUCACGUAGUUACGCGCAUUAACUUGGUCAAUGUAAGUUAUGCAUUUUGCCUUGUACCUCACCUUAAAAAUGUUAUCUAUGUGAGUUUUUAAGAGUUUCAGUUAAAAAUGUUACAUGGUAUGUGGUUAUUUACUAUGCAGUUUAUGUGAUUACGUGCAGCUCGAUCAUAUACAUGUUCCAGAAAACAUGAUAACAACAUCAUUUCAAGUCUUGAUAACAUAAGGAACAGAACAACAAACCAUUUUUUUUUUGACCUCAUAACACAGUCUGCUAUGAUCUUUUAUUUUUGAUUGUUCCACCAACUGCAACUGCAUCUGUUAUCCACCUUUUCUUUGCAGACUUUUUUUUCAAUAAACAGUCAAACCAUAACAUGAAUUGCAAUAAAACCNUUAACUUGGUCAAUGUAAGUUAUGCAUUUUGCCUUGUACCUCACCUUAAAAAUGUUAUCUAUGUGAGUUUUUAAGAGUUUCAGUUAAAAAUGUUACAUGGUAUGUGGUUAUUUACUAUGCAGUUUAUGUGAUUACGUGCAGCUCGAUCAUAUACAUGUUCCAGAAAACAUGAUAACAACAUCAUUUCAAGUCUUGAUAACAUAAGGAACAGAACAACAAACCAUUUUUUUUUUGACCUCAUAACACAGUCUGCUAUGAUCUUUUAUUUUUGAUUGUUCCACCAACUGCAACUGCAUCUGUUAUCCACCUUUUCUUUGCAGACUUUUUUUUCAAUAAACAGUCAAACCAUAACAUGAAUUGCAAUAAAACCCCAUAACUCUAGCCAUAUAUUCUGCCAGAUUCCAUUACUAUGGCCCAAAAUAGCAUGAAGAAUCAUCUUCUGUUGUAAUCACUCUUCCACAACAUUAACCAACUCAUACUCAACCAGUGAAAGAUUGUUAUCCUCUUUUACCUUGAAAUUAGCUGCUUCUGUCACCUCCACACGUCCCCAUUUGUCCACUGCAAGCCUCAUUGAUCCCUUAAACAUGUCAAUUUUGGCAUUUCGCAGAAUUACAGUGUUGUCAGCUUUCAUCAAGUCCACUGCAACCAUGGGAAUAAAAUAAAUUUCACCAAAAUAGAUUAAUUUAUAAUUUGGUGAAGUGAAACUUGAAAGUUACCUUGGUUGUUUCUUGCAGUGAAAACUAUAGUCCCUGUUUCAUCUCCAACCAAGCAUUCAGCGAUUUGCAUUUGGCGAAGCUGUGGGCCAUCUGGUCGGCCUUUCUGCAACACCAGCUUGGAGCUAACAACUUUGACAGUCAGAUUGUGGCCACUGGUUCCAGGUCGCAGUUGAUCCACCUUUGUGAAAACAGGUUUCCUCAUACCUGACUUUGUUUCAGCCAUUAUCUACACUUGUUCAAAACAACAAUUGGUGUCAAUGUCAAUGAGAUAAGAUAAAACUAUCGACAUCCACUCAGCAUUUGCAGAAAUCCGUUGUUUUUAACCUAUGUUUACGACUCUAGUAAAAUAAAAUUGGGGUUAUCAAUAACAAAAACAUGAAAUGCCUAAUCUAUGAUGAAAUUCGGGCAGUGUGAUUCAAUUUUUUGAGAAGUGACCAUAAACAUGGAAAUCAAGAAAAACAGAAUUCGAUAUCGCCAUCAAAAUUUUGAGAACUGAUCACAAGUUUGGUUAAAUUGGAACGAAAUAUUUGAAAAGGUAUGAAUCUGUUCUUCCUUUUUUUUCCAUGAUUGUUUCGUUAUAACCGAUCCAUAUAAACCAUGACGUACUUAAUAAUUACCGAAGAAACAAGAUGCAUCAGUAAAAUUCAAAAAUCGAUCGAUACAAUUCAUUGGAAUUAUGCAGAUACGAAAAGUGUUAGAUAAGACGACGAUGAUGGAAGGAAGAAAAACUGAAAGAAUUAACGAGAUGAUAUGCAUAAUUACCUUUAUCCGAUUCCUUGUGCCGAACAGAAAUGACGUUUUGCGAUAGCAGAUGGAUUGAUCUGUUUCUUUUUCUUAUUCGUUUUGUUCGUGCUACCCUGAAAAUCGGCUGAAGAAUGAGGUUUUGAUUUAACAGUGACCGUUGAUUUUCCCUAAUUUCUCAAUUGCAUCUUGAUCGUCCACGUUUCUAGUGCCCAUGGAAAUCGGCUGAAGAACGGUUUCCUCUUCAAAUAGAAUAAUUGUUUUCCUUUUUUACUUCUUUAAAAUAUCUUCCCAGCUUUUUUAAUCACUAAAAAGAUAACUAACAUCUUAAUCGAUAAGUUCGUGAAAAACAAACUAUCUUCAUAAUUUAACACUUUUUAAGUUUUAUAAUUGUAGUUUAUCUAUCAACUUAUAGUAUUUUGGUAAUAAUAGAAAGAUAAACUUUUGAUAAACAUUCACAUAUAUUAUAAACAUUCACAUAUAUAAAAAUUAAGGCUCUAUUUAGCAUGUCAUAACGCUAGUUUAUUUUCAAUUUUUUUAGGUUUUCAAGAGAAUACCUAAUAACUUAGCUUUUUAAAAGUUAUUUAGACUAAUUUUUAAGUAGUUUUUUUACAAUUCUUUCAAAAAUACCUUUAAUUAAUUAUAAAAAGAAAAUUUAAUUACUUUUUUAUCUCAUCAUAUAUUUUUCAAACGCUAUUUUUAAAUCAUAUUUUAUCAUUUAGGCUUUUAGGCUAUACUAACACACUCACACUAAAGAAGAUCUAACAAAUCCUCCCAUAUAAAAGAAGAUUGUUGAACUUGGGGUUGCUUGGUUGGUCCAUAAACAUAUAUGUUCAUGGUCUUUUUAUAAGUUUCUUUUGUAGGGUGUCCAUGAAAAUGACUAUUUUUCUAAGGUAGUUAUAAUAAAUUUAUAACCAUCAUCCUGGAAACUAUUUAAAUUACCAACAUCAUGGUUCAAAAAUAAGGUGAGGCACGCCUUCAGACGAUGUAAUGAAAAAACGUACUUGUGGUGGCGCCUCAUAUGGUCUAAUUGAGGCAUGUGCCUUAGCUAAACGACACACAGCCUCGAGGCGUAAGGCUAGGCGAGAGGCACUUGUUAGGCUGGAGGGAGUGGUGUCACCGAAACCGCACUCCCUCCCCCGCCACAUCAGCGUCAUGUCACUUUUUACCAUUCAAGUGUGGUUUCUUGCCACACUUUUCAUUUCUUUUAUUUUUUUGUUUUUUUAAGUAUUUUAAUUUAAUAAAACUUCUUUUUUUAACUAAUUUAAUUUAAUAUACCUUCUAUUUUAAUAAAAAAAAAACAUAAUUCUUCAUUGCUUGAAAAUUAAAAAAAUAAAAAUAAAAAAAAAAACAGUACAUUGUGUUACCAAAAAAAAAAGAAAAAAAACCACACACAUGACAUUUAAAUAACCCUAGAAACUUAAAAAAACAUAAAUAAAAUAACUAAAGCAAACUAAAUAAAGUCGUUCUCCGAGAACUCGUCUUCGGGGUCAUCCGGUGGAUCCAAAUUAAGAUUAAUGUUUUGAACCCCGUAAAUGUGUUCCACCAAGUCAUUACGAAGAUUGUGAAAUGUUUCGGUGCAACGUAUCUCUGCUCUCCUGUUUAUAUACUCUUCCUCACCAAUUUCUAUUGGUUGUGUCUCUGGUACGAUUUCUUCCUCGUCAAACGCACAUAUCGCUCUUCCUUCAUCUUCAAUAAUCAUGUUAUGCAAUAUAAUACAUGUAUACAUGAUUUCUUGAAGUUUUUCCUCGCCCAAAUAAGCUGCUGAUUUUUUCAAUAUGAACCACCGUUUCUUCAGAGCUCCAAAAGCACGCUCAACAUCCUUCCUAUCUCUUUCUUGAGCUCUCUUGAAUUUCUUUCGUCUAGAACCAUGUGUAGCUGAAAACGAUUUAACAAACACAGCAUACUCAGGAUAGAUUCCAUCGACCAGAUAAUAACCAUACUUAUAUGGCGUUCCACGCACUUGAAAAAAAAGAAUCUGGUACGAAUCCAUCGUAUAUGUUGUUAAAUAUUGGUGAACGGUUAAAAACAUUGAUGUCGUUAAUCGAACCAGGAGAACCAAAAAAAGCAUGCCAAACCCACAUAUCUUGUGAUGCAAUUGCUUCAAGUAUGACCGUUGGGUAACCAUGAUCACCUCGGGUAAAUUGCCCAUGAUAUGUUGUAGGGCAAUUUUCCCAUGCCCAAUGGAGACAAUCUAAGCUCCUAGCACUCCAGGAAACCCAUGCACACUAGCAUGAUGAGCUUGCAAUUGCAGGAUGUCAUUAAGUGUAGGCUUACGUAAAUAUUUUGGACCAUAAAACUGAAUCACAGUUUUGCAGAAAAAAUGGAGACUAUCUCGUGCUAUCCUAGCAGACAUUGUAACGCCUGUGUUUCGGGCUUGCCAUUUGUAGCAAUGUAAUAGUCUAGGUUAACCUUUGUAACCCGUUUUGAAAUAAUAAGAUUAUAUUAUUUGAGUAUUAUGUGUUUUGUGCUUAAUUGCUUAAUUAUGUGGUUUGAUUAAUUAAGAAUAAAAAUAAGCGUCAAAAUUUAAGUGUAAAAUAAACUUAAUAUCUUUGGUUAAUGUUGUAGUAGUUGAAACGAGGUUUCCGAAUAUAUAUAGAACGCCCAAAUCUGACUUCGUAUGAGGAAGUUAUGAUUUAUCGAAGUUCCGGCUUAGCGAUAUACAGCCUGUUUUACUCGAUUUGAGAUCGAGCGGUUGUUAGCCGAAGCAAUCUAAAUGAGAAUCGAAGAUCUCAUUGUUGGUAUUGAAACGAUAAAAAGUUAGGCGAUAACGGACGUCAAACGAAGAAGUUAUGAAUUUAUAACGAAAGUUUCUGUCCCGGCCUAUUAAAAAUAAUUAAUAAAAAUAAAGUCAAAAUUAGCCGACGGAGUCUAAACGAAAGUCGUAGAGCAUGGUCUCACCUUCGCGUGGAUAUAAAGAACGUCGAAAACGGAGUUCGUAUGAAGAAGUUAUGAAUUUCCGAAGUUUAUUAAUCAUUUUGUAUUUAUAUUUAAAUCAAAAUUCGGAAGCAUUAUCCGAAGGAGUCACCGAUCUGAUCCGAGGUACGCCCCGCGUACUCGAGUACGCCCCGCGUACUCCGAGGGAUGUCGACACUCGCACUCGAGCACUUCGGAUACGUAAGCAAUGACGUUUUGGGCAGUACGCCCCGCGUAACGCAGUACGCCCCGCGUACUCCGAGGCUCCAGCCUCCUAUAAAUAGGAUGCGAGGGUUCCGGGUAUUUUUGCCAAUUCCCUCUCGUUUUCGUGUCGAAGCUCUGUGCAAAAACCCCCGAAGCUACCCCGAAGUCCCGGUAUCAUACUCUAGCCCCGAGGCAAGUCCCGAGAUCCCGAAGAUCCCGAAAAGUGCGGUUCCCGAGUCGAAGCUCUGCCCGCGAGAAGUUCGAUUUUCGAGAAGAUCUUCCAGAUCUGCUGUGGAUUACUACUUCUAUAAGCCGUAGUGCUGUCCGAUCAUCUUCUGAUCAAGUGAGUGUGUAGUUAUUUCUUCUAAUACAAUAAUACGAAGUAUUUUAUAUAAAAAUACGUGCUAUGUGUAUAUAUUUGGUUGUGUUAUGUGUGAAUGAGUAUUCACUCUCUUCUAUCUUAUAGAUCUGCUUAUUUCUUUAUGAGAUAUGUGUUAUGUGUGUGUGUGCCUCAUCUGUUAUGUGAUAUAUGUGUUGAUUAAAGCAUGCUAUACAGGUUUUCUUUAAACUAUGUAUACAAAUGUAUAUUUUUAUCUACUAAUAUGUUGGGUAGAACAUGGGUAGACAGUUGGUGUGUAAUAAACAGAUGAGAGGCCUCGUUGUUGUUUGAUUGAGUCAUCUAGCGGAGUUUAGAUGACGACCACUGGCUAUUCUAGACAGUCUUGUGGAAACAUUAGCAGGUUCGCCACCUGUAGGUGUUAAUGAACUUGGGUGUUCAUUCGCUGUACUCCAUCCCCCUCAUGGUUGCCUUAUUUGACUUAUAUUGCUGAGGUACCCCCGAAGCAUGUGUUGUCGCCCCGAUGAAAUAUUCUUAGACUAGGUCCCUUAUGUUAGUUGUUUUAGGGACAUUAAAGUGAGAAUAACGGGAAUGGGUAAUUGGGUUAUUGUUGGUUGGUGAAAAUUAAAUAUGAUAUUUAUUGUGGGUUGAAAACCCUAUAUGCUCACCAGGCUCCCAAGCCUGACCCACUCAGUUUUAAAUUGUAUUACAGGUAGUGGCGGAAGGGCAUGAGAUGGAUGAACCAUCAAGUUGUUUUGUUUACAAGUCUGCAUAUGUUUAUAUUUGUUAUAUGACUUGUAAUGUAUUCGUUUAUGCUUAUUGGUCUGUAUCGAAACAUGACACCCCGAGUUUUGAUUAUAAUGAAAAUACAUUUCUUUUAUGAAAUGCUUCGGUAAACAAUGUUUUAUCAUGUUUUGUUUUUGGAACAAAUUCNAAUGAAAAUCGGUCUUUUCUAGCCGAGAUUUUGGGGAUGUCACAGACAUCCUAACACUUUCGUCUAACGCAUCAGGCGGAAUGCCAUAUGCUAACUGACGAAGUGCGGCCGUGCAUUUUUGUAAGGGAGUGAAACCGAGUGUACCUCUAGCAUCGUAGCGUUGUUGGAAAAAAAACGGCACUCCCUCGUUACAUCUUCAACUAUACGUUCGAAUAAACUUUUGAGCAUUCUGAAGCGCCUACGAAAAUAAUACCCUUGUUAAGUGGCAUUCUCUGCAAAAUAGUCUUGCACCAAACGUUGGUUGGCUUCUUCACGAUUUCUGUAAAUAUAUCUUCGUGUUCUCUGUUGAGAACUUGCAGCUGCGUUGUUACAUACAACGUUGUAUGUUUGUUCCGCCAUUUGAACACACGCAAUAGCGGUAUCAAAAAUAGUCUGAAAUUCUUCAGAAGAUGAAAAAGAUGACAUUUUUGGGAGAGUGGUGAUUUAAAAAAAAUGUUUUUGAGAGAUAGAGGAGAUUGUGUUGUGUAAAAAAAAGUUAGACAAAACUUCAAAAAUGGUCCCUGUGCUUUUCGAAAAUAUCAAGUUUAGUCCCUAAGUUCAAAAAACCUCACAGAUGGUCCUUGUGGUUUCAAAACUUUUAACAUUUGAUCCUUCUGGCUAACUCCGUUACUAUUUAACCGUUAAGUCAGGGGCAUUUUUGUCAUUUCACUACACAGGGACCAUUUAUGAGGUUUUCAAAUACUUUCUUUUAAAUAAAUAAAUAAAUAUAUAAUAUUUAAUAUAGGGGUCCCACCCCACCCCAUCUCUCUCUCUCUCUCUCUUUACAAUUACACCAUUGAACAAACGUAAAUAUUGUUUUGCUCCUUUAUUAAAGAUGAGGGGCUGAUCUGGACAAAGUGAUAGAAACAGUGAGAGUACUCAUCUUCAAAUCGGGGGGAAAGGAAAAACAAAUUGAGCAGCAGAUUGGGUAGCACCGGUGGUGGAGUGGGGUUUUGUGAUGGUUGGGAAAUUACAAGGAGGGGACACAGAGGCGGAAGGUCGUUACCAGCGAGAGUGGCAGUGAAGGGAAAGGCCUUCGAUCCUCAUUUGAUCGAGGAAGAAGAAGCAAGAACAACACAUGACAGGGGGUGGGGGUUUCGUGGGAUUUCUCAGCAGAUAGCAAAGAGGGACGCCGACAGAAGGCUAUCACCGGCGUUCUCCUUUCUUUUUAUGGUUCGAUCGACAGCAAUACGGGAGGGAAUAGAAUUGUGAAGCAGAUCAUGGCACACAACUAUUAGAGGGUGUCUGGUUGUUGAUGUUCGACGAGAGAAAAAUGCAAGGGAGCAGAGGCUGUGAAUGUUGACAGUAGGAGGUGGUAGGGAUGCUCCGGCAGCCUCCUCGUUGGAUUUUUUUGUCUGGUAAUAGAUACAUGAAGAGAGGGAGGAACGGAAGUAUCACAGCAUGUGGUGAGGGUGUUUUUGUGAGGGAACCGAUGGCAGAAGGGAGAAGAGGGAUAGAGGGUUUCUGCCUCCUCUUGGUUGGAAAAAUUGGUCUCCAUGGAGCUUCUUCCACCGGUAAGAGAGAGAGAGAGAGAGAGAGAGAGAGAGAGAGAGAGAGAGAUGGGGUGGGGUGGGGUGGGACCCCUUGCAUAUUAAAUAUUAAAUAUUUAUUUAUUUAUUUAAAAAAAAGUAUUUGAAAACCUCAUAAAUGGUCCCUGUGUAGUGAAAUGACAAAAAUGCCCCUGACAUAACGGUUAAAUGGUAACGGAGUUAGCCGGAAGGACCAAAUGUUAAAAGUUUUGAAACCACAAGGACCAUCUGUGAGGUUUUUUGAACUUAGGACUAAACUUGAUAUUUUCGAAAAGCACAUGGACCAUUUUUGAAGUUUUGUCAAAAAGUUAAGUUGAUAUGUGUAUAUAUAUAGGAAAGAAAAAGCAAAAGAAAAAAAAAAUUGCACGAAUCUUGUUGCAAUUCAACGGUCAAAAAGAUGACCAACCAAUCAGAAUUCACGACCUUUAAGGGCCGCACCGCAGUUUAGGCCGCAGGAAACCAUGCCCUGGGGGCGGUGUUCCAUGCUUAGGUGGCAGCGAACCGCAGUCUCAGACCGCACCACACCGUCUAGCCUUAUAAAACAAUUAAAAUGAAGAGAAAUGUAAUAAUUUUUGUCAGACUGUUUUCCCUUUUUAUCUAUAUAAACAAAAGUACUUUUUUUAACAUAUAGGGCGUGUUUGGCACGGAGCUUUUGGAAGCGUUUGGGAGCUUCUAGCUUUUAGCUUUUGACAAAACGCUCUAGUUUAAACAAAAAGUUUCGUUUAGCAGUACGAGCGUUUAGCUUUUAGUUUUAACAAAACGCUCCGAUUCUAAAAACUACUUCAUGUAGCUUUUAACAAAACGCUCCGGAACUUUUGAAAUCAAUUUCCAUAAUUACCCUUAAAAAUAUAUUUAAAUAUUUUUUUAUUUUUAAUCAAUUGUUUUUUUAUGUAAUUUUAUAUAUUUCAAAAGCUUCCAGCUACUUUUGUCAAACAUUCAUAUAACAGAUAAAAACUACAACUUCCCGCUACCAGCUUCCAGCUAACCGCUACCCGUUACUUUUGUCAAACACGCCCAUAAUAUCAUACAUGAUUAACUUAUAUUGAUGUAACUUUGUUCGAUAGUUUGUUAAUAUAUUUUUAAUAUCAGUUGCUAUUUAGUUAUCUAAUAUUACAAUCUUAUUAAAAAUUAUUUUCUAGUUGAUUAUGAGUUUUUAUGUAACUUUAUUAUUAUUUUAUUAGUUACAUAAUAUUAAAAAAAAAAAAAAAAUCUUUUAUACUACCUCGGUUCGCCUGGAGGCUCGAUUCCAUACUUUUAAACCUUGGCCAACAUGCCUUUUGAGAUUGACACAUUAAAAAAAAAAACAUAUUCUAAACUACUUCUCCUCCCAAAAGAUACUUUAAUACUGUGAAAGUUUUGAACUUGUUCAUGAGUGUCAGACCGGAUUGAUAAGUUUCAAAUUGGGUUGAUGAGUUUUGAACUUGUUCUUCAAUUAAUGUUUUACACAUUUUAUGUUCAACAAUUGUCUGAUUCCAUAACCGCAUACACCAUAAAAUCAAGAGAUCCAAAUUCAUUUCCAUUCAGUUGUCCAUAACUACACCUUACUAUAUUACAAGGUGAUAAAACAACAGCUUAGGAGAUCAACUCAACUUAUUCAGCAGUAAACUCAACCCAUUAAGACUUAAGAGGCAAAUACAGAACAGAUCACCUGUACUGGCUUGCCAGCUCACCCUCCUUGACAAUGUAAUGUUGGGGUGGAAACUCUUCUCCCUUGAAAUAAUUCUCCAGCAUAUCCUUCACUCCAGCCGCAUAUCGCAACUGCAAACAUAUUAUAAAUCACUUCAUAAUUCUAUAAUAUAUCAUAUAUCAAUUGCAAACACAAAUUGAAUGAGAAGAACAUACCUGUGCAUCAAUGGUGGUUCCAGAAAUGUGAGGUGUCAUUGCUUGAUUCGGCAUGUAUCUCCAUGGAUGAUCCUUUGGAGCUGGUUGAGGAUACCAAACAUCUCCACUAUACCCUAAAACACACCAAAAAAAAUAAUAAUCAUCAGUUGAGGGUCAUGAAUUCAUGUCAUUCAUGGGACAUGAAUUCACGUUAAAACAAACCUCCAAUGUGUCCACUAUUACACCCAUCAACAACAGCUUGUGUAUCCAUAAUAGCACCUCGAGCAUUGUUAACAAUCAAAACCCCCUUCUUCAAUUUACCAAUCCUUUCUUUAUCAAACAUUCCUCUGAAACAUACCACAUCAAUACUCCAAAUCAGUAUAAAAACAUCUCAACUUUGACAAAAGAAAUACUAUUACUCACUUUGUUUUCUCUGUUAAAGGGGUGUUGAUGACAAUAAUGUCACAUUUAGGAAGCAUCUUAUCAAGAUCUUCCUCAAAUGUUGCACCAAUUUGAUUCUCCAAUUCCGAAUCCAUCUGAAUCCGAUCAUGGUAAAGAAGAUUACACCCAAAAGGCUUCAAUCGUUGAAGUAAUAGCCUUCCAAUUCGCCCACAACCAACUGUUCCUACUGUUUUUCCUUCAAGAUCAUAAGCUCUGUGAGCAAUACCUGCAACAUUCCAAUCACCAGAGAUAACCUGAUGGUGUCCAGGUAAGAAAUUACGAACAAGAAUAAGGAUCCUCAUAAGUUCAUCUUCUGCAACAGAAACAGUAUUGCUUCCAGUAACUUCUGCAACAGUUAAUCCAGCAGCAGCAGCAGCCUUGAGAUCAACAUGAUCAGAUCCAAUUCCAGCUGUAAGCAAGAGUUGUAAAUUCUUUGCCUUUUUUAUCCUUUCAGCAGUCACAUAGGCUGGAUGGAAUGGGGUGGUAAUGAGGACAUGUAAAUCGGGGAUAUGUUUUUCUAGUUCUGUAAUGAGAAAUGAUAAUAAGAAGUGAGUGUAUAUGCGUAUAUACUUGUGAUAAAUGUGAGAAAUUUAAAAUGGAGUCAAGUUAGGAGCUUACCACAAUCUGGUCCUUCUUUAUCAUCAGUGACUAUGUACUCAUGGCCUUGUGAUUCCAACCAGUUGCGAAUGCCCAAUGCAUUUUCUGCACAACCCACGAAAUUGGGAUUCAUCUCAGCAUACUCAUGUGCCUUGUAGAAAACACCUACAAUCUUCUUUUUGCCGGAAGAAGCCUGCAGAAGCAAUUGGAGCAAUUUUAAGUUUGCAGGUUUCUACACCUUCUAAAACUCAGAUCUGACUAUCAUCUGAAGCAACAGAUUUAAUACAUGAAAAGUUUAUUUGGGUAUAACAGUUUUCUACAAACAUUUGCCUUUUUGAAAUACCUAUUAUGGUUUAUUUAUUUUGGCAAAAGAGGAUAAUCUCAUUGACGCUUCAACAAAGUUGAAGAGUUAGUACAUACUUGAAGGAGACCAUUUUUUGAUUGUAGGUGAACUAAGUAAAAAAUAAAUUAAGUGAUCUCCGUGUACAGAUCACGAGUGACCGAAUCACGUUAUCGCCAAGAACCACAUGCGUACAGUUAAAAAGACAAAGUAGAAGCACCAAAAGCACAAAGGCACAGUUGAAAAUUUGUAGUUAUCAUCCAAAUCCUAAACAGUGGCAGCGAGUUUCUGACCACAGAUCAGGAAAAGGGACAUUCAAGAACAGCGUAGUUGAGCAGCGAUUGUAGUAUAAGGCUAGAUUAACAAAUUAAAUUGGAAAACCGAAUAGAAACAGGAAUCGAGUAUAGCAAGGGCUUGGGUGGAUAAAAUAGAAUCGCUUACAUGAAGGUGUCUGGUGAGAAUCGAACCGGAAUUAGCAGUGGAAAUAGCACGAGCAGCAGUAGCAGCAGCACGCUUCAUCGCGAUCGCCAUCAUCAUCGCCGUCGCAACGCUGGUGCUCUUUGGAAAUUUGGAUAAAGGCAAACUCAGGAAGACAGUCGAACGUGAAAAUGUUGGACUGCCAAGUCUGUUACAAAAUCGUAGACGUCUCUGACCACCCCCCUUAAAUAAUCGGUGCAUGACAACCACGUGUUCGAAAAGGUUGGUGACAUUAAUUGUAAUCUCGAUAUUA